GACGAACGCUGGCGGCGUGCUUAACACAUGCAAGUCGAACGGAAAGGCCCUGCUUGCAGGGUACUCGAGUGGCGAACGGGUGAGUAACACGUGGGUGAUCUGCCCUGCACUUCGGGAUAAGCCUGGGAAACUGGGUCUAAUACCGGAUAGGAGCCAUUUUUAGUGUGAUGGUUGGAAAGUUUUUUCGGUGUAGGAUGAGCUCGCGGCCUAUCAGCUUGUUGGUGGGGUAAUGGCCUACCAAGGCGGCGACGGGUAGCCGGCCUGGGAGGGUGGACGGCCACAUUGGGACUGAGAUACGGCCCAGACUCCUACGGGAGGCAGCAGUGGGGAAUAUUGCAAAAUGGGCGCAAGCCUGAUGCAGCGACGCCGCGUGGGGGAUGACGGCCUUCGGGUUGUAAACUCCUUUCGCUAGGGACGAAGCUUUUUGUGACGGUACCUAGAUAAGAAGCACCGGCUAACUACGUG
rnacentral:rRNA from 1 species